GCCAGCAUGGCAUAGUGGUCUGAGUGUUUAACUGCAACUCUGGAGACCAGGGUUCAAUUCCCAGCUCGGUCA